GCCCUAGCUCCUCAGCUUAAUGGCUUUGAGCCAGGAGACUAUCAACUGUGGUUCCAAGUUUAUUUGGUUCCUGUGAUGGCGAGCAUCCUUCCUGGCAGCUUGCGAGUGAUCCCCAGUAACAUCACCUGUGAAUCCUAUGAGGCUGUACAUGAUGGUCUUGUGCAAAGUUUGAGAGCAUUGCCACUGGACCUUUCACAGGGCGUGAGAUCAAACAAGCAGUCACUCCAAGACACAUUCACGCGUUGCUCAGUACCAGCU